GUCUUUGUUGAGUCUGAAUGGUUCAAGCAAUAGCAAAAAAGGAUUAUUUCUCUCUUGGACAUUUCAAAGUACUAUGCCACAAAAUAUCCAAGACUUGUUAUGGUGAGGAGCCAAGUGGAAUGGAAAGGACAGCUCAUCCCGGCGGCUGGGAGUGCAUGCACACACAUGCCCCCUUUUUCUUGCCUACUAACAGGAUCUAUAGAAGGAGUACAUAAUGAGUAUGUAGGGGACUUGGCUGCUUUCAGUUAGGAAUGAGACACUGAUAUGGUUGGAAUAUAGUAAGAGAAAAAGGGAGGUCUUUCUUAAAAAACGGUUUUGUGUAAAAAUAGAGAUGGCACGUAAUGGAUAUCAUAUUAGAGGGCUCCCUGGACAAAUACACAGAGCCAAAACUUCUCAUCGAUUAGCCACCUCUUCAAGUUUAGGGGUUGAAAAUCUGAAACAACUACAAACAUGGUAUCUCUCUGAAAAGGAGAUAACGUAAAAGUUAUCACAUAUUAAUAUAAUGUGUAUGAAUAAAUUGACAAGCUGGUUAGAAAUUAGAAAUAAAAGUCUUGAGGCAAUGAAAGAGGUAAUAACAUAGGCAAAAAGAGCUCUUCUUCUGGAGAGUAGUUGUAGAUGGAGUAAACAAGUUUAGGUACUGAACUGAGAAUAGCACAUGGAUAGACCAAUUGUGGAUGAAGGAGACUAAAGAGAGGUUUAACGAAUAUUGAAAUGAACCUCCAGCAGGAGGAGGCUUGCUCACAGGGUGGUUACAGGCAUCCAAGAGAGUCAGCAUAAAUGUGAAAAGUUUCCAAAAUAUCAGAUUCAGUCCUAUGUAAUCUGGUUUCCAUUGCAUUCUCUUGGCCAAAGCAAGUUGCAAGACAAGUCCAAAUUCAAGAAGGUCAAGAAAUACACUCCAUCUCCAGAGAUAUCUAUGACUUUCAGUUGAAAUAUCUGAGGCCAACACUCCAAGCAAUUUUAAACAAGUGGUGACAGAAAUUACCAGACACACAUCAAGACUCAAGUAUAAAGCUAUACAAUUUAAGGAUGCUCAGCAAAUGUUACUGAAUUGACUGGGUAGUCCCUAAAGAGCUGAAGAAUAAAAGAUGUUAUGAGAAACCCAACAAUACCAAAUAUAAAUUGCCUCAGGUUCUGAAAUAUUCAAUAAAGUAUUCUCACUGUAGUUCCUUCAGCUUAGCUGAUUUGGACUUUGGCUGUGAAAACAUUAUCCUCAGUGUUUAAAAGGUUGGAAAAUUCUACUGGCUCUUUGGCCCAACCUGGAAUUAAAUCCUGAUGCUAUCUUAGAACCUCAAAGUCUAAAAUCUUCUAUUGUUACUUUACAGAGCUGUUGAAACAUAUUAAUAAACUUGUAUCAUACUG